CUGCAGAGAAUACAGAUGGUGAAUGUCCAAUUUGAACACGUUAAUCUAGCCUAAGUCAGUUUUUUUUCUUUCACCAAAGCUUCAAUAUGCAUCUGAUCUCAGGAUAUUGGAUUUUUCUUUGAGGCAAAGUGGGAUGUGAGCAUGAGAUUCUUAAGCAUGCUUCUGUGGGACUCUUCUAAAUACUGCAGUGCCUGGCAAUAAAGCAGAACCAUGCACCCAGCAACACCUUUGAUCUCAACCAUAUGGAGCUCCUCCGUGCUCUUGAAAAAAAAUUUCCCUUGCCUCCGAUGCAGGCCGAGAGAUACUGGGGCCCCCAGAUGGCUUAAUACCACUCAUGACUGUGACUUCAUUGAUUAUUUUCUUUCCUGAUUGGUCCUGAUUGAAAAUAAAUAAAACAUGCACUUGGAACUGGAUGCAAAUUGGUGU